rnacentral:rRNA from 1 species
AACGACUCUCGGCAACGGAUAUCUCGGCUCACGCAUCGAUGAAGAACGUAGCAAAAUGCGAUACUUGGUGUGAAUUGCAGAAUCCCGUGAACCAUCGAGUUUUUGAACGCAAGUUGCGCCCGAAGCCAUUUGGCCGAGGGCACGUCUGCCUGGGCGUCACGCAU